UCAGGAUGAACGCUAGCGACAGGCCUAACACAUGCAAGUCGAGGGGCAGCACAAGGAGCAAUCUGAGGUGGCGACCGGCGCACGGGUGAGUAACACGUAUGCAACCUGCCUGUAAGCGGGGAAUAACCCGUUGAAAGACGGACUAAUACCGCAUAAUACUAAAUUACUGCAUGGUAAUUUAUUUAAACAUUUAUGGCUUACAGAUGGGCAUGCGCAUGAUUAGCUAGUUGGAGAGGUAACGGCUCCCCAAGGCAACGAUCAUUAGGGGUUCUGAGAGGAAGGUCCCCCCACACUGGUACUGAGACACGGACCAGACUCCUACGGGAGGCAGCAGUGAGGAAUAUUGGUCAAUGGACGAGAGUCUGAACCAGCCAAGUCGCGUGCAGGAAGAAUUGUCCUAUGGAUUGUAAACUGCUUUUGCAGGGGAAUAAAGUGCAUCACGUGUGAUGUUUUGUAUGUACUCUGCGAAUAAGGAUCGGCUAACUCCGUGCCAGCCGCAGC
rnacentral:rRNA from 1 species